GAUGAACGCUGGCGGCGUGCCUAAUACAUGCAAGUCGAGCGAACGGACGAGAAGCUUGCUUUUCUGAUGUUAGCGGCGGACGGGUGAGUAACACGUGGAUAACCUACCUAUAAGACUGGGAUAACUUCGGGAAACCGGAGCUAAUACCGUAUAAUAUUUUGAACCGCAUGGUUCAAAAGUGAAAGACGGUCUUGCUGUCACUUAUAGAUGGAUCCGCGCUGCAUUAGCUAGUUGGUAAGGUAACGGCUUACCAAGGCAACGAUGCAUAGCCGACCUGAGAGGGGGAUAGGCCACACUGGAACUGAGACACGGUCCAGACGCCUAAGGGAGGCAGCAGUAGGGAAUCUUCCGCAAUGGGCGAAAGCCUGACGGAGCAACGCCGCGUGAGUGAUGAAGGUCUUCGGAUCGUAAAACUCUGUUAUUAGGGAAGAACAGAUGUGUAAGUAACUGUGCACAUCUUGACGGUACCUAAUCAGAAAGCCACGGCUAACUACGUG
rnacentral:rRNA from 1 species